rnacentral:rRNA from 1 species
GACAGAGGGUGCAAACGUUGUUCGGAAUUACUGGGCGUAAAGCGCGUGUAGGCUGCUCGGAAAGUCGGAUGUGAAAGCCCUGGGCUUAACCUAGGAAGUGCAUUCGAAACUUCCGAGCUGGAGUUCUGGAGAGGAAGGCGGAAUUCUCGGUGUAGAGGUGAAAUUCGUAGAUAUCGAGAGGAACACCGGUGGCCGAAGGCG